ACAUCUUUGUUAUUUAAUUUUAUUUUAAACACAAAAUUCUAUACUUUUUUUAAUUUGGUAUAAAUAAAUAGUAAAAUUACAAACACAAUUUAUGGAAAACAAAUUUCUGGGAAUUAAAUUGUGUUUAAGCAUUAAUUGUAUAUAUCCUAAGUCUACGAAGAUUUAAACAUAGAAAAAGGAGAAUUCAAAAAAUUACAAAUUUGAAAUUUCGGUUUAGCACAUGAAGUCUACUACUAAUUUACGCUUAAGUUUCAUCAGUAAAAAAAAGUUAAAUAUUAAUAAACUGAAAGCCCUAAUUUUAUUUUCCUUCUCCUCUCUCACGGCGUUUCUUCAAGUCUCUCUUGUCUCCGUUUUUGGAGGUAGUUCUCUCUCUCUCUCGUGUCUUCUGAUGCCAAAGAACCAAGCAAGUCUUCUUCUGCUCAAAGAUCUGUCUAAGAACCCGUAUGAUGGUUUAAAGUCUGUGAUUUACCGUUGCCCUCCCAUCGACUUCUUGUCUAGGGCACAUGAGCAGUUGUAACGGCGGUAUGUGGUUUCACGAUGAUGUUCCCUAUCAGGUCGAUAGGAGUAAAUCUCUGGCACUCUGUUUUUGGUGAAACCUAUGGAACCUCUCUUUCUCUCUCUCCUCUCUGGUGAUGCACAAUGCGGUCUCCUCUCGGUGUUCAUCAAGGGCAGCGAGGCACCGUCGGCUUAAUCUUUUCCUUUCUUCCUCUUUGCUUCACAGAUCAAUCGUUGGUGGUCGUCAGCUCAAAGGUGUAAAUUAUCAUGUCGCCUCUUCUACUUAUAUUCUCAUUAAUCUGGCUGCUUGAUGUCGUCCUUUUAUAUUUGUUCAUGCCAGACCUGAAAUUUUGGUGUUGGAACAACUUUACUUUCAAGUUGGCAGAGAAGCUAUGAGGAAGCCAAAAGAUUAAGAAGCAGAUCCGAUGAAUUUCACAGAAUCAAAGACUCUUAUUUAUAGAGUAAAGAGAUUGAACAUGGAUCGACACCAGGACGACGUCCGGAAGAGAUGAAGUUUUGUGAGUCGGUCUAUUCAUUAGACCAAUUUGGGCUUUGGUUUGAUAUAUUUUAUGGCCCAAUUCUAAAUAUAUAUUAUUAUGUAUCGAACAAAAUCCGAAGGCCACACCUAUUGUACACUUAAAUUAAUGAAACGCAUAGUUUUCAUAAAGGGACAGGUGUCGCAACCAUGUUGCACAACUUAGUGACAUGGAAACACCAUAGGAGAGAAAACACUACUUUAUAAUAUAUAUAUAUAUACUAGGGUUGGUCCGCCCUACGGGCGGGAUAUAUUAUACUUGUGGUAUACAUUAUUAUUUUGUAUGAUUUUAUGGUUUGAAUUUUUGGUUUGCAUUGCAAGAGAAGUGGAAAUGGAUGAUAAUGAUUUAUAUUUAAAACUAUCGAUUAGUUGAUGGUUUGACCGGAUGAGGGAUUAUAUGUGGUAGAUUUAUUUUGCUUGUCUAUUUGUCUAUACAUAAAUCUUUGUCCUUGAGACUUGCUUCGGAGAGCAUCUCCAGCGUUUGUUUAGGUGUCUCACCUGACCGAACCAAGGCUACUAUUCUCUGGUCGAGAGAGUUACGAUGGACCUAUCUCAUCAGCGAAUCUUUUCUCGUUGAUUUGACGCAUCAUAUAUUUGUUGU